rnacentral:misc_RNA from 1 species
GGAGAGAAGCUACCGCCUGGCACACAAAACCCAAAACGCAUUAAGUGUGGGCCAGAAGGAGGCAACACUACUCUGCAUGGCGAGCCAAAACCUCCUCCAUGCCGGGACCUGCUAAAGUUAUGGUAAAUGUUGUCUCCAAUAAUGAAGCUUGGAUGUUUCAAGCUUCCCUGUAUGAUCCUUUUUGUUUUCUUAAUCUUAACCAUUCUUUGUAUUUGCCUGCCGGCUUGGUUUCUGGCUGAUGCUCAAAUUUCCCACUUCAUAUUCAAGUUAUGAAAUGGCUAAGCAAUCCCUUGAUGCGCUUGAAUUUAUGGUCGUGUGACAUGAUUGAGAACCAUCACAAAUUUAAUCAUACAGGGAAGCUUGAAACAUC